CCCAUUAGCUAGUUGGAGAGGUAACGGCUCACCAAGGCAAUGAUGGGNAGCCGGCCUGAGAGGGUGAACGGCCACAAGGGGACUGAGACACGGCCCUUACUCCUACGGGAGGCAGCAGUGGGGAAUAUUGGACAAUGGACCGAGAGUCUGAUCCAGCAAUUCUGUGUGCACGAUGACGUUUUUCGGAAUGUAAAGUGCUUUCAGUUAGGAAGAAAAAAAUGACGGUACCAACAGAAGAAGUGACGGCUAAAUACGUGCCAGCAGCCGCGGUGAUCCGUAUGUCACGAGCGUUAUCCGGAUUUAUUGGGCGUAAAGCGCGUCUAGGUGGUUAUGUAAGUCUGAUGUGAAAAUGCAGGGCUCAACUCUGUAUUGCGUUGGAAACUGUGUAACUAGAGUNCUGCGGAACUACA
rnacentral:rRNA from 1 species